rnacentral:rRNA from 1 species
UACGGGGGGUGCGAGCGAUGUCCGGAAUCACUGGGCGUAAAGGGCGCGUAGGUGGCCUGAUAAGGGUGUGGUGAAAGUCCGGGGCUCAACCCCGGAUCUGCCGUGCCGACUGUUAGGCUAGAGUACUGUAGGGGCAGGCGGAAUUCCGGGUGUAGCGGUGGAAUGCGUAGAGAUCCGGAGGAAGACCGGUGGCGAAGGCGGCCUGCUGGGCAGUUGCUGACACUGAGGCGCGACAGCGUGGGGAGCAAACAGG